CACUACAUCCAUAAUGACCUCCAGUCCCAUCCAUGUUGUUGUAAUUGGCAGCAUCUCAUUUUUUAUGGCUAAAUAGCACUCCAUCGUGCAUAAGGACCACAUUUUCUUUAUCCUUUCAUCUGUUGAUGGACACUUAGGUUGCUUCCAAAUCUUGGCAAUUGUAAACAGUGUUAUAGCAAACAUGGGAGUGCAGAUAUCUCUUCUACAUACUGAUUUCCCCUCUUUUGGGUAUAUACCUGGGAGUGAGAUUGCAGGAUCAUAUGGUAGCUCUAUUUUUAGUGUUUUGAGGAACCUCCAAACUGUUCUCCAUAGUGAUUAUACUAAUUUACAUUCCCACCAACAGUGUAAAAGGGUUCCCUUUUCUCCACACCCUUACUAGCAUUUGCUAUUGCCUGUCUUUUGGAUAAAAGCCAUUUUAACUCGGAUGAGAUGAGAUCUCAUUGUAGUCUUGAUUUGCAUUUCUCUGAUGAUUAAUAAUAUGGAACACCUUAUCAUAUGCCUGUUUGUCAUUAGCAUGUGUUCUUCUGAUAAAUGUCUAUUCAGAGCUCUUGCCCAGUUUUAAAAAUCUUUUAAGUUCAGGGGUACUUAUGCAGGUUUGUUACAUAAGUAAACGUGUGCCAUGGGGGUUGGCUGUAUAGAUUAUUUUAUCACCCAGAUAUUAAGCCUAGUACCCAUUAGUUAUUUUUCUGGUCCUCUCCCUCCUCCCACCCUCCGCCCACCGAUAGGUCCUAGUGUGUGUUGUUCCCCUCUAUGUGUCUCAGCAUUUAGCUCCCACUUAUAAGUGAGAACAGGAGGUAUUUGGUUUUCUGUUCCUGCAUUAAUUUGCUAAGGAUAAUGGCCUCCAGCUCCAUCCAUGUCCAUGCAAAUAAUGUGAUUUCUUUCUUUCUUAUGGCUACAGAGUAGUCCAUGGUGUAUAUAUACCAACUUUUCUUUAUCCAGUCUAUCAUUGAUGGGCAUUUAGGUUGGUUUCAUGCCUUUGCUAUUGUAAAUAGUACUGCAGUGAACGUACACAUGCAUGUGUCUUCUUAACAGAACAAUUUAUAUUCCUUUGGGCAUAUACCCAGUAAUGGGAUUGCUGAGUUGAAUGUUAUUUCUAUCUUGAGGUCUUUGAGGAAUCACCACACUGUUUUCCAUAAUGGUUGAACUAACUUACACUCCCACCAACAAUGUGUAAGCAUUUCUUUUUCUCUACAGUCUCACCAGCAUCUGUUUUUUGACUUUUAAUAAUAGCCAUUCGAAUGGUGUUAGAUGGUAUUUCAUUGUGGUUUUGAUUUGCAUUUCUCUAAUGAUCAGUGAUGUUUGUGCCCAUCCUUCUUGAGGAUUUCCAGGUAUUUGAAGGGACUUGGGCCCCAAGUCCAAUAUCACUGUGGCUUUGGCAGACUGAUAGAGAUACCACCUUGGUUGUCUUGGAUACGAUCUGCAAGAAUUCUCUGGGUAACCAGGCAGAGACUCUUGUUCUUUUCCCUUACUUUCUCCCAAACAGAGUUUCUCUCUGUGCUGAGCUGUCUGGAACUAGGGGUGUGGUCA
rnacentral:lncRNA from 1 species